rnacentral:rRNA from 1 species
UACAGAGGGUGCUAGCGUUGUUCGGAAUCAUUGGGCGUAAAGCGCGUGUAGGCGGCCUUGUAAGUCCGUUCUGAAAGCCCGGGGCUCAACCCCGGGAGGCGGAUGGAUACUGCAAGGCUCGAGUACGGAAGAGGCGAGUGGAAUUCCCGGUGUAGCGGUGAAAUGCGCAGAUAUCGGGAGGAACACCAAUGGCGAAGGCAGCUCGCUGGGACGUUACUGACGCUGAGACGCGAAAGCGUGGGGAGCAACAGG